CACGGGGGGAGCAAGCGUUGUUCGGAAUCACUGGGCGUAAAGGGCGUGUAGGCGGUCAAGUAAGUGGAAUGUGAAACGCCUCGGCUUACCCGAGGACCUGCAUCCCAAACUGCUUGGCUUGAGUAUGGGAGAGGAUGAGGGAAUUCCUGGUGUAGCGGUGAAAUGCGUAGAUAUCAGGAGGAACACCGGUGGCGAAAGCGCUCAUCUGGCCCAAUACUGACGCUGAGGCGCGAAAGCCAGGGGAGCAAACGGG
rnacentral:rRNA from 1 species